rnacentral:sRNA from 1 species
UCCAAAAACAACUUUUAGAGUAAAAUUGCAUUACAGGUGUAGAAAAAAAAUCUAGUGACUCACUCUUACCUUACAUUGAGUCUAGAUCUACUCUGAUAAAUAUUGUACACGAAGGUAGCCGACCAGUUUCAGGCAAGUGUAACAAAUAUGUCAAACAGCUCAGUGUCUUAGAGUUGAAGACUUGCUAGAAUCUACUGCAAAAAACUGAUCACACAAAAUGCCAUCAGGAAACCUGACUAUCAAUGAGACUGAAGUGGUCAAGUUAGUAGCCGAGUUUCUUCAGAAUAGGACUCUGAAUAUCUCCAUGCUCUCCCUAGAGAGAGAAACUGGAGUCAUCAAUGGAUUAUUCUCAGAUGAUAUGUUGUUCUUGAGACAGCUGAUAUUGGAUGGACAGUGGGACGAUGUGAUUGAUUUCAUACAGCCUCUAAUAUCAAUAGAAGCUUUUGACAG